UACAGAGGUCUCGAGCGUUGUUCGGAUUCAUUGGGCGUAAAGGGUGCGUAGGCGGCGCGGUAAGUCGGGUGUGAAAUCUCGGAGCUUAACUCCGAAACUGCAUUCGAUACUGCCGUGCUUGAGGACUGGAGAGGAGACUGGAAUUCAUGGUGUAGCAGUGAAAUGCGUAGAGAUCAUGAGGAAGACCAGUGGCGAAGGCGGGUCUCUGGACAGGUCCUGACACUGAGACACGAAGGCCAGGGGAGCAAACGGG
rnacentral:rRNA from 1 species